CAGAAGAAGAAAAAAAUCUCUCCCGUGUUUAUCUCUCAUUGUUUCUCUCUCUCUCUCGACUGCGUUAACACGAAAUCAGAUAGAAUUUUCGCAAAUCGAUUUCUCCUCCGAUUAUUGUUACAUCCGGUGAAUCGGAGAGAGUUAUCACAAGCAUCUCAACGGACGGCGGCUCACCACGGCGCAUGUGGGUCAUAUAAUCGGCGAUUUAGGGUUUGAAAUCGAAGAGUCUUUUCACCGAAUCUCCGAUUGAGUUCAUCAAAUCUGACAAAAUCCGUACAAGGGUAUAUCCCAUUACGGAGGAGAUGAAGCAAACAACCACACAGCUCUUCCAUGCCCUGGUGAGUUACUAGUUGAGCAGCAUCACAGCAACUAUGGUGAACCUUAGGCAGGUGGGCGCGAUGUAUUCGAGUUCUUGGCUGAAUCAUCCAAUCUUAAACCAAACUCUCGUGUUCUAGAAAUUGGAUGUGGCACGUUACGUGUGGGUUUGCAUUUCAUCAUUUUCACUGCCUUUGAGUUUUAAGGAAUGGUUUGUGGUUAUUCUUGUUUCCUUGUGAUUCUAAUCGAUGAAGCUCUCAAGUUCAUUGGGAGAUGCAGAAGGACAAGAAUCAAGAAGAAGAUCAAAACAAUGUAAAAGUCUGAUCAACACAACAGACAGUUAACUCUUUUUUCUUACAAUCUUUUGUUUCAUUAAGAAAUCUUAACCAAAGAGACAGUAGUAGCAACUAAACCUGUUGUUUUUUUAAUUCUUUGUGGAAGCAAAAUCAAACUUUACAAUCAAACAAACAAUUUAUUACA